rnacentral:misc_RNA from 1 species
GGACAAAACAUUCAUUGUCUUAUUCUCAGUCUCAGAGUCUCACUCUUCCAUGUUUGACCACUCCCACCUCUGUCUGCUUCACUCCCCGUGGCUUCCUCUCUCUCUCUAUCCUCUUCUCGAGACGACGAGCAGCCCCUUUCACUGCUGGAGCAGAAGAACCUUUUCUUGUUUGGUCUCUGUUUCUUUCUCUGUGAUUGUUUUUUCACUGCUAAAAUGGCAGCUUCCUAAUCCUCUCCUCGAGCUUCAUUUUCUAGGCCUUUGCACGAAUGGAAUCCAUCUAUCACAUGAUUCUUUUCUUCCCCUCCAUUAUUGCUUUUAUCCCCCCUCUUUAUUUCAUCAUCCUCAUCGUUUUGAGCAGAGAAUCACUGCUGUUUGCGAUAAGACAUGUAGUAGAUACAAAGCUAACUAACCCAAAAAAACAAAGAAAAUAAAUUUAUUACUAAUAAACUUCUUUCCAGUUCUUUUGCAUCAUUGGAUCGUCGUUUUGUUCCUCUGUAAUGUUCUGUAUUUUUCUUUCCCAUUGUAUCAUUGUACGGCUUUUCUGUUUUCUGCAGUGGUUUCGUGUUUUCUUUACGUUUUCUGUGCUCUAGUUUGGGAGUGAGGUCUACUACAUUGUGUUUUCUUAGAGUGUUUUGGGAAACCUGGGAUUUUCUCCUGGAUUUUGUCGAGAUUUCUUGGCUUUUUCUGUAUGGAGUGGAUUUGGAACUUGAGAUUUGAGCGUAUUUGGUUUUUACAAAGUAAUUCCGAGUAUUUUUGCUGUGGGUUUUGGUGAUCUUAGUCA